GGGUUGUGAGGUUAAGCGACUAAGCGUACACGGUGGAUGCCCUGGCAGUCAGAGGCGAUGAAGGACGUGCUAAUCUGCGAAAAGCGUCGGUAAGGUGAUAUGAACCGUUACAGCCGGCGAUGUCCGAAUGGGGAAACCCAGUGCAAUUCGUUGCACUAUCGUUAACUGAAUACAUAGGUUAACGAGGCGAACCGGGGGAACUGAAACAUCUAAGUACCCCGAGGAAAAGAAAUCAACCGAGAUUCCCCCAGUAGCGGCGAGCGAACGGGGAGCAGCCCAGAGUCUGAAUCAGCUUGUGUGUUAGUGGAACGGUCUGGAAAGUCCGACGGUACAGGGUGAUAGUCCCGUACACCAAAAUGCACAGGUUGUGAACUCGAAGAGUAGGGCGGGACACGUGGUAUCCUGUCUGAAUAUGGGGGGACCAUCCUCCAAG
rnacentral:rRNA from 1 species